rnacentral:pre_miRNA from 1 species
GAUUCGGUUUGGAUUCUGUAAAUGGCACUGGAAGAAUUCACGGGGGAUUUAAAAGGGGCCCGUGGAGCUCCCGUGUCAUACACAGCGUCCGGCCUUACGGCGCGAUAAGCCCAG